rnacentral:lncRNA from 1 species
AGCUUUUUAACAUGGGAAAGUCUUGAAUCGGUGAGGAGAAAUGGCGUGGGCCUGAAGGGCCCCAUGGCUACACCUAUCGGAAAAGGGCACAGGUCCUUGAAUCUCACAUUAAGGAAAGAGCUCGGCCUUUAUGCCAAUGUUAGACCUUGCUCUAGCCUUCCUGGUUAUCGAACUCGGUAUGAUGAUGUGAAUCUCAUCACAAUCCGUGAGAAUACCGAAGGAGAGUAUAGCGGUCUCGAACACCAAGUAAGGAUUUCAAGAACUUUUAUUUUCAGCUGCUUUUCGUAUAAUCCCUUCAAAAUUACCUAUUUACAUUCACUCCUUUAAAGUACCAAUUUAUAUAUGUCCGUAUAAAGUGUAGCUUCUUAUAUUAAUGUUGUUAUCUUAGGUCUGGGAGUCAUUAAAUUCAAGUUCAUUUAGUAUUAGAAAAAAGUUCAGGUUUAAAAUGUACAAACUUGAACUAUAUCCCAUUUCAGAAUGGGUACUUGAAAGUUGAAACUACAAAAAUUUGUAUUUACUCCGUAACCUUCUGGUAUGCUUGAUUUAACUAGCUAUCCUCAAACCUUACGAUGUUUUUAACUUUUUUGGCAGAGUAUUCUGUAACCUAACCACCUUAUAUAUAUAUAUAUAUAGAGAGAGAGAGAGAGAGAGAGAGAGAGAGAGUCUGGCUACUAUACUUUUAUGAGUACGAUCGCCUUCGUACUCAUAAGUCGUUUUCGAUGAUAGAGCUUCCGAAUCGACGAUCCAUACCGUUAAACAUUUUGUAGAGCAUUUAAAACUUCUAGAAAUCAAAUUUCAUAAUUUUUCGACAUCAUUUACCUUACGAUCAAAAGCUCACAAAAUUGACAAUUUUUAACGGCCGGUAUGGAAUACUUGCUAGUUUAACGGUGCAAAAGAAUCUGAAUAGGUUGAAUUUUUGAUAGAAAAUUCUAUUCACUACCUAGAUAAANCUCUCUCUCUCUCUCUCUCUCUCUCUCUCUCUCUCUCUCUAUAUAUAUAUAUAUAUAUAUAUAUAUAUAUAUAUAUAUAUAUAUAUCCACCUCUAUCUCAUAUUCUCACCUUUGGGCGUAAAAUGGCCCCAGAAUUUAUCCGAUUUUUCAUUUUGGUACCCAAAGUUCCUUAUGUUUUCAAACAGGUCCCAAAAAUUUAGGACGAAUUACCCUACCGGUUCCUAAGCUUUUUCUUUCAAAAUAGUAGGUCUCCAGCUUCUUCUCCGAUAUAUGCACACAACUUAAUAAACCUAAUUUCACUAUAGACCUCAAUCUCAUUUUUCACUUCUGUAAUUGUCUCGACCUCACAUUAUGACCAACUGAACCCAGUCUCAUCUCAUGCCUUAAUUUUAUUUUCCACAUUUAUGACUGUCUCGAUCUCGUGUCGUGAAGAGCGAAGCCAAAUCCAACCACUAGCCUCCAUCUCAUCGUUCGCAUCUGUGACGGCAUCGACCUUGCAGAUGAUGUAUGUUGUCUUUUUUGGAGCAACUAACAUCUUCGACCUUGAGCCGAGUAAGCCAAGUUCUUUCUUAAACUUUAAACAGUGUCGAAACUAUGAUCUUUUUUUUUUUUUUUUUUUUAUGAUCUAUUUGGUCAAAAUUAAUAAGAAUAUAGAUAGUUACACCUAACUAAAAUAGCAUAACAAAAAACCUUUUGUUCUACAGUCACACAAAUAAAUAGCGAAUGGUAAGUAAUUUUAUCUGAAUUCUAGUUCGCCAAAAAGUCUACUCUAAUUUAAAUUUCACCUUUGGUGAAAUAAUCAUGCCCUGAAAUAGAAAAAAAAAAGAUACAGAAAAAAACUUAUCUAACCUAUAAAUCAGUUUGAGUCAAUUAUCCAACUUUUUAAAAUUUGAUUUUACUGCUUUAUAUUUUUAUUUGUUUGAUUUGUGAGUAAGCAAUUGUACAUCAAAAUUUAAGCUAAUUGCUUUAACAAAUUUGUAGUUGCGAAAAUUACAUGACCUAGGUUAACUAAGUCGAUGAAAAUAAACAGCACAUAUAAAUUUUAAGAUUAAAAUAUCAUUAAUUGACUCAAAUUAAAAAAAUAAAAAUUUUAAAAUUGAAUAGUUAACUAAAAAUGGUUCAUAGUUUAUGUAAAUUAUGCACAGGUUUACCAAAAAUAAUAAUAAUAAGGGUUAAUUGCAUACAGGUCCCCGCAAAUAUAAUGAAUUAUAAAUAUAUCCCUAUAAAGUUCAACUUUCAUAAGUUAUCCAUCUUAAAGCCUUAAUAUUUUCAGAUAUGUCCCUCUAAUUUGUUACGGUUAAAGAACUAUUAGAAAACUAUUUAUAUUUUCAAUUUUGCUAUCACAAAUAUGUCCCUCCAAAAAUUAUAACAGUAUAAUAUAAGAGGGAUAAAAAUAUCAAAAAUUAAUCCAGAUAAAGUAUUUAACUAUGGUUAACUAAACUUUUCUAACGGAGGGACAUAUCUGAAAAUAUUAGAACUUUUGUAGAAAUAACUUAUAAAAGUUUGAACUUUAUAGAGAUACAUCUGUAAUUCACUACGUUUGCGGGGACCUGUAUGCAAUUGGCCCUAAUGAUAAUAAUAAAAACGAGCAGUGGUUCAUGGUGACGUGAUGGACCAAUUUCACAGAACAAAUUUAUGCUCUUUUAUUAAAUUUCGAUAGAAGUGUUUAGUAAAUUGUAAAGUUUUUAAGGGUCUAUUUGUAAAAGAGUCCCUUCCCUUCUCUUUCUCUCCAUAUUUCUCUCUAGAGCUCUCUCUCUCUCUCUCUAAACUCUCUCUCUCUCUGGUAAACGCUCCCUCUCACAAAACCCUAAUAAUCGAUUUUUAAUCGCAUGUUUUCGCAUCUUUUGAUCCUUUUUUCCGCCAAUUUCCACUCAAUUUUACCCUUAUUUUCGCAGAAUCGAUCAAUCGGAACUAACUAAAACCCUCGUCGUUGAUCUCUUCUUCGACGCUUCUUAGCCCUAGGGAAAGGUGAGGUGUGCGCCAUGGCGCUUCGGCGGCUCCUUGGGAGGAGCUCGAGGAUCCCAAUCGUAUCUAGGGUUUUCGCAUCGUCCGCGGCGCCUUUCUCCGCGGCGGCGUCUUUCUCCGCGGCGGCGUCGCCGAGCGACACGAUCCGAGCCACGCUCUUCCCCGGCGAUGGAAUUGGGCCGGAGAUCGCCGAAUCGGUGAAGCAGGUUCGGAUUUUGAUCCUUUAUUGUCGAAUUUUAUACCUUUUCUUAUCCUUUUGUUCCCCCCUUUUUAUACUUUGUUUUGAUGUAGAUUGUUUGAUCUAGAGCUUGCUUGUUUGUAUGAUAUAGGUAAAAAUGCGAGGAGGCCCCUCAAUAUAGGCCUUUAUGAAAUUGGCGGCUCCACUUAAAAAUGUUAUAGGUCGAGACUCCAGCAAAAAUUUUAGUUGUUUUGAUUUAUGUGAUUCAGGGUUUCAUUAAAUACGAUGAUGAUUUUGUUAAGUUGAUGAUUUUACCAGUUUUAGCUAAUAGAAAUGUUGAUUUUGAUGCUUAAUGGCUGAUGAAGUCGUAGUUUUGACGAAAUUUCUAAUUCAAGUAAAGGAAUAUUCAAAUCAAAAUAAUUAAAAGUUAUGAGGGUGCAGAUUGAACAAAAAUAUGUAGUUCGGGUUCUAUUUCAGAACGGUCUAUAGUUGAGAGGGUUUAUGUACAGUUUUGUCUGUUAUGUAUGAAGUUGGUUAGCUUACUUUGAUUUCGUAUCCCUGAUUGAUGAAGUCGUAGUUUUGUCGAAAUUCCUGAUUCAAAUAAAGGAAUAUUUAAAUCAAAAUAAUUAAAAGUUAAGAGGGUGCCGAUUGAACAAAAAUAUGUAGUUCGGGUUCUAUUUCAGAAUGGCGUAUAGUUGAGUGUCUAUGUACAAUUUUACCUGUUAUGUAUGAACUUGGUUAGCUUUCUUUGAUUUCGUAUCCCCGAUUCUAUUAUAGAAACAUUUAGCAUUGCUUUUUGUGAUCAAUUUUAAUUGAAUUAGCUAUUUCUAGUUCAAACAAAGGAAUCGGUUUGAUAUGAUGCUAAAUUUAGAUUUUUAUUUUUUUCUAUGAAAAGAUUCUGCAUUGAGUGUCAAAUCAGAGAAUAUGGCGCUCUUUAGAUAUUAAUCUGUUUAGAUGUAUUCUGAUUUCAAUUCCGCCCUUGGAUUUUCAUUUGUGUUCGAUUUGAUUUCAUUGUUGUCCUUUGACUCGCAAUUCAACAAAGUAAAGUUAAACUUUGAUUCUGACAUUGCACCUUCUUUUUGAUAGGUUACUAACAAGAGGACUUAGUUGUUAACUUGUUAUGCAAAACAACUUUGAGGACUUAAUUUCUAUUCAAUCCUUUUACAUAUUAUUUGUGUUAGUGUAGGUUUUUAGUGCAGCACAAGUGCCAAUAGAAUGGGAAGAACAUUAUGUGAGCGACAAAGUUGACCCCAGAACGGAGAGCUUUUUAACAUGGGAAAGUCUUGAAUCGGUGAGGAGAAAUGGCGUGGGCCUAAAGGGCCCCAUGGCCACACCUAUCGGAAAAGGUCACAGGUCCUUGAAUCUCACAUUAAGGAAAGAGCUCGGCCUUUAUGCCAAUGUUAGACCUUGCUCUAGCCUUCCUGGUUAUCGCACUCGGUAUGAUGAUGUGAAUCUCAUCACAAUUCGUGAGAAUACCGAAGGAGAGUAUAGCGGUCUCGAACACC